rnacentral:tRNA from 1 species
GUUGAUGUAGCUUAAACNAUAAAGCAAUGCACUGAAAAUGCUUAGAUGGGUGCUCCUCACCCCAUAAACA